GGAGUGGGGGCACAUGAACGCUGGUUACCCAACGGGCUGAGAGGGGAGGAGUGGGGGGCACAUGACCGCUGGUUACCCAAUGGGCUGAGAGGGGAGUGGGGGAGGCACAUGAACGCUGGUUACCCAAUGGGCUGAGAGGGGAGUGGGGAGGCACAUGAAUGCUGGUUACCCAAUGGGCUGAGAGGGGAGUGGGGGGGGGCACAUGACCGCUGGUUACCCAAUGGGCUGAGAGGGGAGUGGGGGCACAUGAACGCUGGUUACCCAAUGGGCUGAGAGGGGAGUGGGGGGCACAUGAACGCUGGUUACCCAAUGGGUUGAGAGGGGGGGCACAUGAACGCUG
ensembl:lncRNA